UGCUCCACCACGCUGCUCCACUGCGGGUUGGUGGAGGUGUUUUUACGGCUAAUAGCCGGGACAACGGCUUAACGUGCCCUCCGAAGUACGGAAUCAUCUAUAUUUUCGGACAAUCGGGUGAUUCAAGCCUGAAAAGUCCUUACCAAACAAAGGACAGUCUCACAAAGUGAUUUCGACAAUGUCCCGAUCGGGAAUCGAAAACGGACGUCCAAAUCGUGAGCCUAACGCUCUAACCACUUGACCACAGAGGCUAUUGUCAAUAAGACACAAAUAAUUUUGGCAAAAAAUUGCAGAUACGUCAAUUUGCAAAGUCAGUCACGAUAUGUUUAAAAGAUGAUUUACGUCGGUUGUACUCGAAGGUAGAUGUAAUCAUUUUUGUGUCAGAUAAUGAAACAUUCUGCAUGCGCUACAGUUGCCAUAUGAAUACUAUAAUAAUGUACACUAAAUACUAUACACUAGUAUAAAAAAAAUGCCUCCCCUUUUAAAGUUUCAUGCAUCAUGAUCUCCCUAGCAUUAUUC